AGUGAACGCUGGCGGUAGGCCUAACACAUGCAAGUCGAACGGCAGCACAGUAAGAGCUUGCUCUUACGGGUGGCGAGUGGCGGACGGGUGAGGAAUACAUCGGAAUCUACUUUUUCGUGGGGGAUAACGUAGGGAAACUUACGCUAAUACCGCAUCCGACCUACGGGUGAAAGCAGGGGAUCUUCGGAACUUGCGCGAUUGAAUGAGCCGAUGUCGGAUUAGCUAGUUGGCGGGGUAAAGGCCCACCAAGGCGACGAUCCGUAGCUGGUCUGAGAGGAUGAUCAGCCACACUGGAACUGAGACACGGUCCAGACUCCUACGGGAGGCAGAAGUGGGGAAUAUUGGACAAUGGGCGCAAGCCUGAUCCAGCCAUACCGCGUGGGUGAAGAAGGCUUUCGGGUGGUAAAGCCCUUUUGUUGGGAAAGAAAAGCAGCAGGUUAAUACCCCGCUGUUCUGACGGUACCCAACGAGUAAGCACCGGCUAACUUCGUG
rnacentral:rRNA from 1 species